UGUUCACUUAUGUAUCGAAAUACUUUUUCUCCUUGUCACUAUGCAGCGAUAUAUCGAAUUCAUGAAAACUCGUGUCCAGCUCCAAUUGUUGCAAUUGUUCAGCAACCAAUUGCCAUUCCCUGCAGCAAAAAUAUUCGACAUCUGUUGGCAUUGGGAUGCAUUUUUUGCAACGACACCACCAGUCUACUGUUGUCUUGACUGGGUUGUCGAAGGCUGCGGCAGCUUCUGCAGGAUCUGUGCUGAAUGAGCAUGCUCAAAGCCCAAGUGGUGGACAUUUGCCAAAGAACAGAGGGCACUGAAUAGGCACUCACCCCGGACGGUGGGGCCAAAAUUACGAAAUCCAUCCUGAGUGUAUCGGUGGCCAUCUCCAAUGGCACCGAUACAUUCAGGGUGGAUUUAAAUGAGGAACAGGCCAACUGUGUGGAGGAAGUUAUCUUUUCAUAAAUCAUCGGGUUGGUAACAGCGACUCCUCCUUCCUCCACACCAAGCAGGACAACGAAAUCUUCGGACGGUUUGAGUGUGUCUCAUCCUUUUGAUUCCGAAUGGUGUUCACCUGUUGCUGCCUCCUCCUUGCGUGUGGACCAGUCCGCUGCCCUUCAUGUCACCCACGAGUUGGUGAUUGUCUCGUCACCUGGUCGAUUUAAGCAUUGUGUUAUAGCGUAGUCCUCGUCAAGUCGUCAUCCAUGUGUGUCAUGUUUCCCAGUGGUCCAUCGUGUUACAUUUCCCUGACCUUCUUUUAACUGUGCUUUUGAUUUGUUACUCUCACUCUUAUUUUUUAUGCUUAAAGUACUUUGUUUGGUGAAAAAGUUUAUUAAAUACAUUUUAGGUUUGCACUAAUUCCCGUUUUUGCCUAUUGUUUCCCUGCACUUGGAUCCACACUUUU